rnacentral:hammerhead_ribozyme from 1 species
AUCCAGAUGACGAAUUGGAAAUAGGACGAAACGCGUAUCCUGGAU